GCCCCGCCCCGUCCGCGCAGCUCGUCCGGCCCGCCCGCAGGCCAGCUUCUCUCGGGAGCCUCCACCCAGGCGCAUGGCUCCAUGAAGCAAGAGGAGGAGGCAGAGCGCGAGAGAUCCCGUCCGCCCCAGCCGCGUCUGGGCCAGGAGAAAAGCAAAACCAUAUUCCUGCUGCUGUCAGUUUUGAUGCACUGAGAAAACUUCAGAGACCUAAGCUUUUUCCAGAGAAGAGAAGCUUUACUGGUGUUCCAGCCCUAAGGCUCAUAUGACAUUAACAGACAAGACACUUUUCAGAAAGACAGGUUGUUCUUUUGGGCCACAUCUAAGAAAUCUUUGUCUAGCCAAAAGCCACAAAUAAUUUCUCAUUUUUUGGCUUCUGGAAGAUGUACAGUUAAAUGUUAUAUUUGGGACUGUUAUCUAAUUUGAUUAAAUUGCACUCUACAAUAUGAUAUUUGAAUUGAUGAAAAAUUAGUAAAUGUUAAUAUUUUUUAAAGUAGCCAAAUCUUGCAAUUUAUAUAUAAUAGAGAAGACUAGAAAAUCCCCCAUAUUUAUUUCCUCUUACUUCGUACUACUAAAAUUUGUAUUUAGGCAUUUGGUUUCUCAGAUAAACAUUACAUUCCCCAGUAUAUGGUUCUAUCUGGCUUGGUGACGACAUGUUGAACAUUAAGAUGUGAGCAGAAGUAAUACAUACACACUCUUUUUAAUGUCUUUAAUUGAAUGGGAUAUUGGCCCAUUUUUUCUUCCAGUUUAUUACACUGAAUAUUGACAUGUUAUUUUCCAAUAUUGAGACAAUCAAUGACAAGACUUUAAGAGUAACAAUGUAAAAAUUAUAGAAGUUGUCUGAGUUUAUCAACAAUCCCCUGGAUUAGAACCCCCUACCAGUUCUAGGUCAUCUAAUAUAUAGACAUUGUGUUCAGUAGAAAUAAAUAUAUAUAUUUUUUAAUAUACUUUAAGUUCUAGGAUACAUGUGCACAACAUGCAGGUUUGUUACAUUGGUAUACACAUGCCAUGUUGGUUUGCUGCACCCAUUAACUCAUCAUUUACAUUAGUUAUUUCUCCUAAUGCUAUCCCUCCCCCUGCCCCCCACCCCCCGACAGGCCCUGGGGUGUGAUGUUCCCCACCCUGUGUCCAAGUGUUCUCAUUGCUCAAUUCCCACCUAUGGGAAUACAUUUUUAAAUCAUUUUUAAAGGUGUUAUUACAUUCUGAUUGAACAUUUUCAGAAAGAAUAAAUAAUUUAAUACAAGAAGUGGGCCACUUCAUGUAACAAAACAAACCACCACUACAGCAACAACAACAAAAAACACUAAUGAAUGUGACUUUAGCUUUGCAACAUCAUGACAGACUAGCAAGUUAAUGACAUUUGUUAUGCCAUAGAAAAUAUUUGUUGAAUUGCCACUCUAAUGACUUUAUAUCAGCCAACUCAUUAUCAACACUAGAAAAGAUGAUUAAAAAAUACUUCAGUACGUUCAUGUGUUGGCUUGUUAACAUUUUUAAGAGUCUAUAAGAGAAAAAUGCAUCCAAUCUCGGCAAAAAUAUUUUUCAAGUAUCUUGUAGGUACGUACAACUAACUACCUUGUGAACAAAAGUCACUAUAUAAUUAUAUAAUUUCUGACACUUAAAAAAGUUUAUUGUGCAAAAGAAGAUAUAUGUUCUAAUACCAAAUCCACAUAUAAAAUAAUUGACUUAUUUAAAUAAUUUAAGAUGCUCUUUUAUAUAUUUAUAUUAAAAACUUUACAGAGAAUAAAAAAGGCAUUAUACAGGCUGCUUAUGGUUUUUGAUGUUUGGAUAUACAAUACAUGUAUCAAAGAUUGUGGAAAUAAAUCAAGCAAUAUAUUCAA
rnacentral:lncRNA from 1 species